ACAGCAAUGCUGGAGCGGGGAAUGUUUGGAUGUGUAGUGAUGCAAGUGCAGGAGGGUUGCAUUUGGACCCACUGUUCCCCGCUUGUGUUGUGUGGACUGUUGUAUGUACCUCUUUUUUCAGCCCCAGGGUGACACUAUUACCCACAUCUGGUAGCUCAUACUGUUCUCUUCCACAGGUCCUGCGGUGUAUCUUCCCAAGUGGCGUGGAUGUGAGGAGACACGACAUUUCACCUGAUGUUCCAUGGGUGACCCUACUGGUGAUGUGGACCUGACCCUCCGCCAUGUAGCAGACAACCCCCUCAGGUCCUGCGGUGUAUCUUCCCAAGUGGCGUGGAUGUGAGGAGACACGACAUUUCACCUGAUGUUCCAUGGGUGACCCUACUGGUGAUGUGGACCUGACCCUCCGCCAUGUAGCAGACAACCCCCUCAGGUCUUCCGGUGUAUCCUUCCUAAGUGGCGUGGAUGUGAAGAGACAGUUCCCCUGAUGUUCCCUGGGCAAUCUACUUACGUACAAUUCAACUGCAUUACAAAUUUUAAUAAAAACCACAGGAAACUUCUAUUUUUAAAAGUUUAUUGAAGAAAAUUUUUUUUUAAUAAAG